rnacentral:rRNA from 1 species
CCCGCUGAACUUAAGCAUAUCAAUAAGCGGAGGAAAAGAAACUAACAAGGAUUCCCCUAGUAACUGCGAGUGAAGCGGGAAAAGCUCAAAUUUAAAAUCUGGCGGUCUCCGGCCGUCCGAGUUGUAAUUUAGAGAAGUGUUAUCCGCGCUGGACCGUGUACAAGUCUCCUGGAAUGGAGCGUCAUAGAGGGUGAGAAUCCCGUCUUCGACACGGACCCCCAGGGCUUUGUGAUGCGCUCUCGAAGAGUCGAGUUGUUUGGGAAUGCAGCUCANAAUGGGUGUAAAUUCCAUCUAAAGCUAAAUAUUGGCGAGAGACCGAUAGCGAACAAGUACCGUGAGGGAAAGAUGAAAAGAACUUUGGAAAGAGAGUUAAACAGUACGUGAAAUUGUUGAAAGGGAAACGCUUGAAGUCAGUCGCGUUGGCCGGGGAUCAACCUUGCAUUCGUGCUUGGCGUACUUCCCGGUCGACGGGUCAGCAUCAAUUUUGACCGCUGGAUAAAGGUCAGGGGAAUGUGGCAUCUUCGGAUGUGUUAUAGCCUCUGGCCGCAUACAGCGGUUGGGAUUGAGGAACUCAGCACGCCGCAAGGCCGGGUUUUUAACCACGUACGUGCUUAGGAUGCUGGCAUAAUGGCUUUAAUCGACCCGUCUUGAAACACGG